rnacentral:rRNA from 1 species
CUUUCUUUGCUGGCGACCGGCGCACGGGUGAGUAACACGUAUCCAACCUGCCCUUUACUCGGGGAUAGCCUUUCGAAAGAAAGAUUAAUACCCGAUAGUAUAAUGAUUCCGCAUGGUUUCAUUAUUAAAGGAUUCCGGUAAAGGAUGGGGAUGCGUUCCAUUAGGUUGUUGGUGAGGUAACGGCUCACCAAGCCUUCGAUGGAUAGGGGUUCUGAGAGGAAGGUCCCCCACAUUGGAACUGUGACACGGUCCAA